AGCGAACGCUGGCGGCAGGCUUAACACAUGCAAGUCGAACGCGCGUAGCAAUACGUGAGUGGCAGACGGGUGAGGAACACGUGGGAAUAUGCCCUUUGGUUCGGAAUAACUCAGGGAAACUUGAGCUAAUACCGGAUAUCUCCGAGAGGAGAAAGAUUUAUCGCCAAAGGAUUAGCCCGCGUCUGAUUAGCUAGUUGGUGAGGUAACGGCUCACCAAGGCGACGAUCAGUAGCUGGUCUGAGAGGAUGAUCAGCCACACUGGGACUGAGACACGGCCCAGACUCCUACGGGAGGCAGCAGUGGGGAAUAUUGGACAAUGGGCGAAAGCCUGAUCCAGCAAUGCCGCGUGAGUGAUGAAGGCCUUAGGGUUGUAAAGCUCUUUUACCAGGGAUGAUAAUGACAGUACCUGGAGAAUAAAGCUCCGGCUAACUCCGUGCCAGC
rnacentral:rRNA from 1 species